rnacentral:tRNA from 1 species
GGAGAGAUGGCUCAGAGGUUGAAAGCACUAGUUGCUCUUUCAGAAGACCUGGGUUCAAUUCCCAGCAUCCCCA